rnacentral:rRNA from 1 species
UUCGCAAUGCCCGAAAGGGUGACGAAGCGACGCCGCGUGUGGGAAGAAGGCCUUCGGGUUGUAAACCACUGUCAGAGGUUAGGAAGUGUAAGGGUGUUAAGAGCAUCCUUACUUGACUUAAGCCUCAGAGGAAGCCACGGCUAACUCUGUGCCAGCAGCCGCGGUAAUACAGAGGUGGCAAGCGUUGUUCGGAAUUAUUGGGCGUAAAGAGCACGUAGGCGGCUCUGCAAGUCAGCUGUGAAAGCCUUCUGCUUAACGGAAGAACAGCAGUUGAUACUACAGGGCUUGAGUGCGGGAGGGGAGAGUGGAACUUCUGGUGGAGCGGUGAAAUGCGUAGAUAUCAGAAGGAACGCCGGCGGCGAAAGCGGCUCUCUGGCCCAUAACUGACGCUGAGUGUGCGAAAGCUAGGGGAGCAAACGGGAUUAGAUACCCCGGUAGUCCUAGCCGUAAACGAUGGGCACUAAGUAGAGGGGUUUUA